rnacentral:sRNA from 1 species
GAAGAUGUUAUCAUCACCUGCAGUUGGCCGCUUGGAAAUUUCCUUAUAUUCAUGACAUGUAUGUAGAAGUUCCUUUCAAUGCCAUGGAACUAAUUACUCUUGAAUUUCUAGUUUUCAUUUUUUUGUUUCAGAUUUUUCAUGUUUUUAUUUGUUUUGCCAGUAUGUUUUAUAAUGGCAUAUUUAUAUGUACAUGUUAUUUGCAUAUAUCAUAUUCAUUUGUAUAUAGAAUUGCCAUCAACGAUUUAUUUAUUAUUUUGUUAUGCAAUUGCAAGAGGAAAAAAGGGAUUUGAGGGUUGUUAUUUGCAUAAUAAACAUAUGCAAAAAGG